rnacentral:lncRNA from 1 species
ACGGCCGUCAGUGGCACCAGGCUGAGCUGGCUGUCAGCACUUUCUGGCCCAAUGAAUAUCAGCGGCAGAGCGGGGCGCUGGUGCCGGCGGCGGGCGUGCGGCACAUCAGCCACCGGCGCUUCCUGGCCACUUUCCCGCUGGCUGCCGUGAGCCGCGCCGAGCAGGACCUGUACC